UCGUCUCAUAAGCUCGGCACGCGCUCCCGCCGCUGCGACCGGCACCGCGGCGCCGGCGGAGACUCGGAGCUCGUCUUUCGGGAAUCGACCGAGCGCGCGAGGCUUCCUUCCGCGUGCGCUCCCGCCGGCUCUGCCUGGUGCCCGCCCCCGGCAGGCACGAUGCCGCCGGUGUACGCCGUGCUCGCCGCCGUCUUCAGGACCAGAAUCCCCUGGAAAGCAGCAGUCUUUCGAAAUAAACAAGUUUUUGCAUGUCUGAAAUAUCCAUCAUUCGGUAGAAACACACAAGAGAGUCACAUUGCAAGGUUCGAUAACCAAAGAAAGCACUGAGGAAGUUGGAUAAGUCCUCCACUUUUUCAUGUGGAGAACGAGAGUACAUGGAGCAUGGAUUUGCAGCUAUAAUUCAUUUCUUCCACUCUUUUUGGGACAAUUUUCUAUGACCUUAAAAAAAAUCUUGGUGUUAUCUGUUAGCUCUCCUCUUAACAAAAACCAUUCAAAUAUCAAUAUACCUGCAUUUGUUGAGAUGAUUUUUAGAAUUUUUUGGUGGAUCAUUGAUUUUUUGGCAGGAAACAAAAUUCUUGAUACAUACAACAAGUAUCUCGCCACUAAUAAUCAAUCAAAUCUGGUAUUGCAGCUUGUUGUCUUUAGUAAUAGUGCAGAAACAUUAACUUAAUGAGACUAAAUUUUAUAAGUAGACACUAGGAAAGAACAUAGUAUUUUGCUAUUUUUGGCUCUUUGCUAUGUUCAUUAGUCUAAGCUUAUCACUAGAGAAAUUAUAUUCUACAAUGACAAGAUCCUUUUCAGUUAUAUGGCAAUCUUCUUCUUCUUUUCUUUUCAUGGCACUAUACUCUUUUGAAGUUUCAGUGUUUAGAUGAAAAGUUCAGAUUCACGAAAGCUGUAAAUUGUGUCCUUUUACUGUUUUGUUGUGACACUAAUUUCUGUAUUGAGAACAAGUUGUUAAGUUCAUGGGAGCUGUUUCCCUGAACUGUUUUCGUUCAGAACCAAGGCCACUAGCUUUUCACUGAGCUGUUUUUGAACAACUUUUCAUGCAAGGUUAUUUUUACAUUAACUGUAAGUUUAGGAUCUAUACAAAAAUCUCUUCACGAAAGUUGCAGUUCUGGUAUCUUUCAGGAGAAUCUAAUGAAUUGGUCUAGAGACCUCAGGAGUCCUUGCCCUGAGAGGAGCCCAUGUCAUCAUCGGCACGAGAAACACAGAAGCUGCAUCAGAGGCAAGAAGCGCAUCAUGGAGACAAACCUAACAGCUCCUGUCGAUGUUUUGAAGCUUGACCUUAGCGCCCCCAAAGUCUGUCAGACCCUUCGCCAACCAGUUCAACUCGAUGAUUCUUCCUCUGAACAUCUUGAUAAACAGUGCAGGUGUGAUGUUGUGUUCUUUCCAACUGUCAGAAGAUGAGGUUGAGAUGCAGUUUAUCACAAGUCAUCGUGGUAUUGUCUGUAAGACUAACUGUCAUCAACACAUGAAACAGACAAUAUCAAUGGCAGAUAUCCUGAUACAAGGCAUAUGGACAAUCUAAGCUUGCAAACAUUCUGCACGUGAAAGAGUUAUCUAGGCGGCAGUAGAUACAAUGAUAAAAUGGCAUAUGGUCAAUCUAAGCUUGCAAACAUUCUGCACGUGAAAGAGUUAUCUAGGCGGCACAAGCUUGACGCAGAUGAAGUCGUCGAGGCUGUUGUUGCACAACAUUCCAUAGCCCCCGACGCCCUUGAGGACUCUGACGACGUUCCCGUCCAUGUCCAGAAGCCGCAUGUCGCGGCCUUGGACGGGUUCUUCCUCUUGGAAGGAUCCGGUGUAGAUGAGGAGCGGGCCUUGGUGGGACUUGUGCGCGGCGGCGAAGAUAGGUCGCGCCACCCCUUGGACACGCAUCGGAACCGGCAGACAGACUUGACAUGCGUCUGGGAGGGGAUGUUGAAGACGGCGUGGUAGGGCAAUGAUACAGUACCCAUGUCGACGAGACGAGAGCAACGAUGCAGCUUGGCCUGCCUAUCGGUGGCCGAAUAAGUACACAACCUCCGACGAUAGCCUGCAAAUUAUUUCUAUCAAAAUUGUAUCAACAAGAGGAGCUCUACGGUGGCCCAUAGAGAUGUGUUUGGCAUGAUCACCGUGCGGGAUGUCUUGGAUAAUCGCAUGCGCAAUAUUAUCUUCACCCGUGCAAGGAGUAAUUGUCAAACCAUCGACGAGUAUUUUCUGUUCGGCAUCGACCCGUGCCGAGGGAGCAUCAUUAUUUCCUUAAUAAUUUAGCUGUUGCAUGUGCAGCACCCCUAUCUACAACUCACAGGUCCUAUGCGUGCUAUUGUGACCUGUAUCGACCCUGGGAACAUCGAGAUCGCGCUGAAAGUUAAGGGCGCAACUGAAUCAGAGGAUAGAGACCUAAGUUUUCUAGUUUUAUUGUUGAAAAGCAGUAUGUAUAUUUCCUACCAUGGAGACUACUCUAGCAAGCGUAGCACACUCAAGUUAGAACUUCACCACAUGGCUGUUGCCGUGGAGGCGACAAUCGGUGUGCGACUCAUCACCGGUGGAUCAUCAUUGCCACUAGGUGAUUUUCAAGGUGUAUUCACUGCUAGUAUUGCCAGCAUAGAUGAUGUGGAGAUUUUGUUGCUUGCCUUCAGAGAUGGUAAAUUGUCACCGAUGACGGCAUGGUCAAUCUUUCACGGCGUGUUAUAAACGCUGGACUCCGUGAUUGAGAAGAGCUCAAGGUCUCUCUAUUGUCGCAAGAUGUCAAGAGGAAGAACAGGUGGCUAUAAUGAGAUGAUAUAGUUUUCACACCUAAAAGAUAUAGUAGAAGUUGUGGUGUACUUACGUGGAAGAUGCAAGUCACCGUUGCAUGGUCCCUUAUACGUUGAUUGGCUUGACUAAUCUAGCAAGGCUGAGUGUUGCUGGUUUGCUUUAGAUAAUCCAAGUAGUGAUUUUCUCAACUUUUUGUGUGUGUGG